UCUCCUACGGGACGCAGCAGUAGGGAAUCUUCCACAAUGGACGAAAGUCUGAUGGAGCAACGCCGCGUGAGUGAAGAAGGGUUUCGGCUCGUAAAGCUCUGUUGGUAGGGGAGAAAGAUAGAGGUAGUAACUGGCCUUUAUUUGACAGUAAUUACUUAGAAAGUCACGGCUAACUACGUUCCAGCCGCCGCGGUAAUACGUAGGUGGCAAGCGUUGUCCGGAUUUAUUGGG
rnacentral:rRNA from 1 species